CUUGUAACCCUCUAUAUAUAAGAGAUAAAUCCUGCUAGGGUUAUCUCAUCACCGCCUCCAUAUUCUUUCGCGUCUUUUGCUUCCUCCCUCUUUUUCGCCAAUGUUUUCUUUAGAUCUAGCUAAUAUGGCGACGAUUUUGUUCUUUCUCGCUUCUAAUCACCGUAGAGAUCCUCCCGAUCUGCAAAUCCGAUCCGAAUUCUCAACGAAUUUGUAGAUCUGAUCUGUGAUUCCAUCGUUGACGACGGAUCUUCGCUUACAUCGUUUGAUCUGUCGCAGAUCUGCCGUUUUCUAUAGAUCUAGAUCUGGAUCGUCCUUCGCGGCUUCUUCACAUGCAAGAUUCUGUGAAUUGUUCAAGUUGAGGCAUCAUUUCUGGAUUACUAGGAGACGAAUCUGUUGCAGACGGAUGUGUGUGUGUUGGAUUGAAUUGAGAUUAGGGUGUAGAAGAUGUUUUGUGGAUAGCUAAUAGCUUCCUGAUUGCAUCUCUGUCAUCCGACCUUUGCCAUGUCAGGUGCGCUUGCAUGGCAGGUCAAAAAACUGAUCCUCAAUAAAAAAAAGAUUUUGUGGGUUUUGGAGAGGAGGUCGCACGGGUUAUUAUUUUUUCCCGGGAUCUCUUCUCCUCUGUGUGUGUCGUCUUGCCUCUGCUCUAUCUCUCUCCCUGCUCUUUCACAUUUCAUAUCUUUCUUAAAUGCUCAUAUACACUCAAAAACCGAUCAUAAGCAGAGUUUGUAACCAAUAUGGAGCAGUGGGCGAUUACAAAUCUUCUUGCCCAACAACCUCGAGAGUUAAAUCAGUAACUAUGAAGCUGGUAGACGACGGAAUUGAAGCUAUGCAAAGCUGACGUUGGUUUUUUCUGAAGUUGAUUUGUUCUUGAAAGGAUUGUCCCACACUGAACUCUGGAAGAUGUACUAUUUGCUUAACGUGACUAGUGUUGUGUUGCUUUUGAAUUGCGGAUUGUGCAAGCGACGGGGAAUUUAGGAAAGAGAAGAUGGGAGUUUAUGAUACAUGGGGUUUGAUUGUUUCGACGGUAUCUUGCUUUUUUGUCCGGUUUGAUCUUGAAUAUGUUACAUUACACUGCAGUAUACUGUUGAAGAUAUGAUUGAUGCUUCUUUUGUUGAAGCUCAUGUUAUAUAGAAUAUAGAAUAAUAGUUGAA
rnacentral:sRNA from 1 species